rnacentral:rRNA from 1 species
GUCUUUUUGAGUUUUAUUUAAAGUCGAACCUGCCCAUUGAAAAUUUUAAAAGGCUGCGGUAUAUUGACCGUACAAAGGUAGCAUAAUCAUUAGUUUUUUAAUUGAAAACUGGAAUGAAUGGUUGAAUGAAAAAUUAACUUUUUUAAAAUAAUUAAAGAAUUUUACUUUUUAAUCAAAAGGUUAAAAUAAUAUUAAAAGACGAGAAGACCCUAUAGAGUUUUACAAUUUAUUUAAUUUUAGUUUUUUUAGAAUAAUAUAAAAGAAAAAGUAUUUAUAAUUUAAGUUUAAUUAAAAAGAUUAUUUUAUUGGGGUGAUAAUAAAAUUUAGUAAACUUUUAUUUUUAGUUACAUUAAUAAAUGAUUUAAUUGAUCCAUUAUUAAUGAUUAAAAAAUUAAAUUACCUUAGGGAUAACAGCAUAAUUUUUUUUUAAGUUCAUAUUAAUAAAAAAGAUUGUGACCUCGAUGUUGGAUUAAGAUUUAAUUUUAGGUGCAGAAGUUUAAAGUUUUAAGUCUGUUCGACUUUUAAAUUCUU